CAGGAGAGGGUGAUGCCAGAGUGGCUAGGGUGGGAAAGGCACCGCGGGUCCAGCUAUGACCGGAGGGAGAUGCAACUCCCGCUCUAUAGGGGGGCUGAGGUGUUUUUUAUGGAGUGCUCCUAUACUACGUUUGUGCCAUCGCAAAUUCCAAUAGGUGCUCACGUCCAUGCAUCCUGGAUCGGUCCCAGCUAUACAUCGCGUGCUCGCUAGCUCAUUCGCUUGCUCGUCCUAGAUCAGGCCAAAAUCACUGUUUUAAUCUUGUGGGUCAACAUGUUCACAAACUGAACCCACAAAAGUAUUUCACGAUCUUACCUUUCUGAAAAUGGAAGUAUUAG
rnacentral:lncRNA from 1 species